CGAAUUUCCGUAGGUGAACCUGCGGAAGGAUCAUUAUUGAAUUAUGUUUUCUAGAUGGGUUGUAGCUGGCUCUUCCGAGUAUGUGCACGCCUGUCUGGACUUCAUUUUCAUCCACCUGUGCACCUUUUGUAGUCUUUUUCAGGUAUUGGAGGAAGUGGUCAGCCUAUCAGCUCUUUGCUGGAUGUAAGGACUUGCAGUGUGAAAACAGUGCUGUCCUUUACCUUGGCCAUGGAAUCUUUUUCCUGUUAGAGUCUAUGUUAUUCAUUAUACUCUUAGAAUGUCAUUGAAUGUCUUUACAUGGGCUAUGCCUAUGAAAAUUAUUAUACAACUUUCAGCAACGGAUCUCUUGGCUCUCGCAUCGAUGAAGAACGCAGCGAAAUGCGAUAAGUAAUGUGAAUUGCAGAAUUCAGUGAAUCAUCGAAUCUUUGAACGCAUCUUGCGCUCCUUGGUAUUCCGAGGAGCAUGCCUGUUUGAGUGUCAUUAUAUUCUCAACUCUCCAAUACUUUGUUGUAAAGGAGAGCUUGGAUUGUGGAGGUUUGCUGGCCCCUUACUUGGGGUCAGCUCCUCUGAAAUGCAUUAGCGGAACCGUCUGCGAUCUGCCACAAGUGUGAUAACUUAUCUACACUGGCGAGGGGAUUGGUUUCUGAUGUUCAGCUUCUAAUCGUCUAAGGACAAUUUCUUGAAUGCCUUGACCUCAAAUCAGGUAGGACUACCCGCUGGAACUUAAGCGGU
rnacentral:rRNA from 1 species